AUGCCUCCGAGACGUGACAAUGGAUUUGCCUUCCCACCGGAGCUCACUCACUUGAUCCAGCAUUUCACGCAGAAUGCCUUGAUGCAGAUAUUAGUUCAGAACCAGAACCAAGGCAACAAAAACAACCCACCACCACCACCCCCUGUUGACCACCUAUCCCGUUUUCUAAGGUUGACUCUACCGGUGUACCCUAGUAGCACCGAGCCGAUUGUUGCAGAUGAUUGGCUCCGCAAGAUUGGAAGAGAGCUGACCACUUCAGGAUGCACAGAUGCGGAAAGAGUGCGUUUUGCCGCACACCAGCUUGAUGGACCUGCAGCAUCUUGGUGGGAGAAUUUCACAGCCACUUACCCCAUUGACACUGUUACAUGGGAUCAGUUUCAGCAGGCUUUCCGCACUGCCCAUGUCUCAGCAGGAGCUAUGAGCAUGAAGAAGCGUGAGUUUCGCAACUUGCGCCAAGAAGGACAGAUGACGUAG
rnacentral:rRNA from 1 species